rnacentral:rRNA from 1 species
GACGAACGCUGGCGGCGUGCUUAACACAUGCAAGUCGAGCGGUAAGGCCCUUUCGGGGGUACACGAGCGGCGAACGGGUGAGUAACACGUGGGUGACCUGCCUUUAGCUCUGGGAUAAGCCUGGGAAACCGGGUCUAAUACCGGAUAUGACUCCGCGGCGCAUGUUGUGGGGUGGAAAGCCUUGUGCGGCUGAGGAUGGGCCCGCGGCCUAUCAGCUUGUUGGUGGGGUGAUGGCCUACCAAGGCGACGACGGGUAGCCGGCCUGAGAGGGCGACCGGCCACACUGGGACUGAGAUACGGCCCAGACUCCUACGGGAGGCAGCAGUGGGGAAUCUUGCGCAAUGGGCGAAAGCCUGACGCAGCGACGCCGCGUGAGGGAUGACGGCCUCGG